GUGCUCACUUUGGCAGCACAUAUACUAAAAUUGGAACGAUGGAGAAGAUUAGCAUGGCCCCUGCGCAAGAAUGACAUGCAAAUUCAUGAAGCGUUCCAUAAUUUU
ensembl:snRNA U6 U6 spliceosomal RNA